rnacentral:rRNA from 1 species
UACGAAGGGUGCAAACGUUGCUCGGAAUCAUUGGGCGUAAAGCGCACGUAGGCGGCUUGCCAAGUCGGACGUGAAAUCCCUCAGCUCAACUGAGGACGUGCAUCCGAAACUGGCGAGCUUGAGUACUGAAGAGGAUCGCGGAAUUCCCGGUAUAGAGGUGAAAUUCGUAGAUAUCGGGAGGAACACCAGUGGCGAAGGCGGCGAUCUGGGCAGAUACUGACGCUGAGGAGCGAAAGCGUGGGGAGCGAACAGG